ACGCUUAGGCGUGUGACUGCGUACCUUUUGUAUAAUGGGUCAGCGACUUAUAUUCUGUAGCAAGGUUAACCGAAUAGGGGAGCCGAAGGGAAACCGAGUCUUAACUGGGCGUUAAGUUGCAGGGUAUAGACCCGAAACCCGGUGAUCUAGCCAUGGGCAGGUUGAAGGUUGGGUAACACUAACUGGAGGACCGAACCGACUAAUGUUGAAAAAUUAGCGGAUGACUUGUGGCUGGGGGUGAAAGGCCAAUCAAACCGGGAGAUAGCUGGUUCUCCCCGAAAGCUAUUUAGGUAGCGCCUCGUGAAUUCAUCUCCGGGGGUAGAGCACUGUUUCGGCAAGGGGGUCAUCCCGACUUACCAACCCGAUGCAAACUGCGAAUACCGGAGAAUGUUAUCACGGGAGACACACGGCGGGUGCUAACGUCCGUCGUGAAGAGGGAAACAACCCAGACCGCCAGCUAAGGUCCCAAAGUCAUGGUUAAGUGGGAAACGAUGUGGGAAGGCCCAGACAGCCAGGAUGUUGGCUUAGAAGCAGCCAUCAUUUAAAGAAAGCGUAAUAGCUCACUGGUCGAGUCGGCCUGCGCGGAAGAUGUAACGGGGCUAAACCAUGCACCGAAGCUGCGGCAGCGACGCUUAUGCGUUGUUGGGUAGGGGAGCGUUCUGUAAGCCUGUGAAGGUGUACUGUGAGGUAUGCUGGAGGUAUCAGAAGUGCGAAUGCUGACAUAAGUAACGAUAAAGCGGGUGAAAAGCCCGCUCGCCGGAAGACCAAGGGUUCCUGUCCAACGUUAAUCGGGGCAGGGUGAGUCGACCCCUAAGGCGAGGCCGAAAGGCGUAGUCGAUGGGAAACAGGUUAAUAUUCCUGUACUUGGUGUUACUGCGAAGGGGGGACGGAGAAGGCUAUGUUGGCCGGGCGACGGUUGUCCCGGUUUAAGCGUGUAGGCUGGUUUUCCAGGCAAAUCCGGAAAAUCAAGGCCGAGGCGUGAUGACGAGGCACUACGGUGCUGAAGCAACAAAUGCCCUGCUUCCAGGAAAAGCCUCUAAGCAUCAGGUAACAUCAAAUCGUACCCCAAACCGACACAGGUGGUCAGGUAGAGAAUACCAAGGCGCUUGAGAGAACUCGGGUGAAGGAACUAGGCAAAAUGGUGCCGUAACUUCGGGAGAAGGCACGCUGAUACGUAGGUGAAGCGACUUGCUCGUGGAGCUGAAAUCAGUCGAAGAUACCAGCUGGCUGCAACUGUUUAUUAAAAACACAGCACUGUGCAAACACGAAAGUGGACGUAUACGGUGUGACGCCUGCCCGGUGCCGGAAGGUUAAUUGAUGGGGUUAGCGCAAGCGAAGCUCUUGAUCGAAGCCCCGGUAAACGGCGGCCGUAACUAUAACGGUCCUAAGGUAGCGAAAUUCCUUGUCGGGUAAGUUCCGACCUGCACGAAUGGCGUAAUGAUGGCCAGGCUGUCUCCACCCGAGACUCAGUGAAAUUGAACUCGCUGUGAAGAUGCAGUGUACCCGCGGCAAGACGGAAAGACCCCGUGAACCUUUACUAUAGCUUGACACUGAACAUUGAGCCUUGAUGUGUAGGAUAGGUGGGAGGCUUUGAAGUGUGGACGCCAGUCUGCAUGGAGCCGACCUUGAAAUACCACCCUUUAAUGUUU
rnacentral:rRNA from 1 species